GAUGAACGCUGGCGGCAGGCCUAACACAUGCAAGUCGAGGGGCAGCACGUCUUCGGAUGGUGGCGACCGGCGCACGGGUGCGUAACGCGUAGAUGAUCUGCCUUGAAGUUGGGGAUAGCCUAUAGAAAUAUAGGGUAAUACCGAAUAAUUUUUUACCACUAUGGUGGUUUAAGGAAAGGGGCUUCGGCCUCGCUUUAAGAUGAGUCUGCGGUCUAUUAGCUAGUUGGUAGGGUAAUAGCCUACCAAGGCGACGAUAGAUAGCCGGCCUGAGAGGGUGACCGGCCACAUUGGGACUGAGACACGGCCCAAACUCCUACGGGAGGCAGCAGCUAAGAAUCUUCCGCAAUGGGCGAAAGCCUGACGGAGCGACGCCGCGUGGACGAAGAAUGCCGAGAGGUUGUAAAGUCCUUUUAUUUGCGAAGAAUAAUGCCUGUAGGUAAUGACAGGCAGAUGACGUUAGCUUAUGAAUAAGCUCCGGCCAAUUACGUGCCAGCAGCCG
rnacentral:rRNA from 1 species